UACGUAGGCAGCAAGCGUUGUUCGGAAUUACUGGGCGUAAAGAGUGUGUAGGCGGUGCUCUAAGUUCGGUGUGAAAUCUCCUGGCUUAACUGGGAGGGUGCGCCGGAAACUGGAAUGCUCGAGCGUGGGAGAGGAAAGCGGAAUUCCUGGUGUAGCGGUGAAAUGCGUAGAUAUCAGGAGGAACACCUGUGGUGUAGACAGCUUUCUGGACCAUUGCUGACGCUGAGACACGAAAGCGUGGGUAGCAAACAGG
rnacentral:rRNA from 1 species